rnacentral:pre_miRNA from 1 species
UAUAAGGGAUUUUGAGUUUUUGCUUGUAACGUUUGACCACUCGUCUUAUUCAAAAAAUUUUGAAAUUAUUAUUUAUUUUUUAAGCACAACUUUUCGUUUUUUAUAUUUGUAAAAAAAAAUUAAAUAAGACGAGUGGUCAAACGUUGCAAGCAAAAACUCAAAAUCCCUUAUA